UCUCCCUAGGACAGCGGUUCUCAACCUGUGGGUCCCCAUAUCUUGUUGGACUACAACUCCCAUCAUCCCUGAGCUCUGGCUAGCUAGGGGUGAUGGGAGUUGUAGUUCAACAACAUCUGGGGACCCACAGGUUGAGAAAGGCUGCCCUAGGAGGU